GCCUUCGUGGUGUUAUUGGAAGCACACUCGACUUGCGUUCGAGAUGUACAGGGUUUGAGUCCUAGCAGGAGCA
rnacentral:tRNA from 1 species